rnacentral:rRNA from 1 species
CCUACGGGAGGCAGCAGUGGGGAAUAUUGCGCAAUGGGCGAAAGCCUGACGCAGCGACGCCGCGUGAGGGAUGAAGGUCUUCGGAUCGUAAAACUCUGUCAGCAGGGAAGAACGGUCACUGUGCUAAUCAGCAGUGAAUUGACGGUAUCUGCAAAGGAAGCCCCGGCUAACUCCGUGCCCGCAGCCGCGGUAAUACGGAGGGUGCGAGCGUUAAUCGGAAUUAUUGGGCGUAAAGCGAUCGUAGGCGGUAGGUCAGGUCUAGUGUGAAAGCCCCGUGCUCAACGCGGGAACUGCCUUUGAAACUGGCAGACUUGAGUGUGGGAGAGGAUAGUGGAAUUCCAGGUGUAGGAGUGAAAUGCGUAGAUAUCUGGAAGAACAUCAGUGGCGAAGGCGACUAUCUGGCACAUAACUGACGCUGAGGAGCGAAAGCGUGGGUAGCAAACAGGAUUAGAUACCCGUGUAGUC